AGAGUUUGAUCCUGGCUCAGGAUGAACGCUAGCGGCAGGCUUAACACAUGCAAGUCGAGGGGCAGCGGGUCCAGCAAUGGAUGCCGGCGACCGGCGCACGGGUGAGUAACGCGUAUCCAACCUUCCCUAUAGUAGAGGAUAGCCCGGCGAAAGUCGGAUUAAUACUCUAUGUUGUAUUUAGAAGACAUCUGAAGAAUACCAAAGGUUUACCGCUAUAGGAUGGGGAUGCGUCUGAUUAGGUUGUUGGCGGGGUAACGGCCCACCAAGCCUUCGAUCAGUAGGGGUUCUGAGAGGAAGGUCCCCCACAUUGGAACUGAGACACGGUCCAAACUCCUACGGGAGGCAGCAGUGAGGAAUAUUGGUCAAUGGGCGCGAGCCCGAACCAGCCAAGUAGCGUGCAGGAUGACGGCCCUAUGGGUUGUAAACUGCUUUUAUAUAGGGAUAAAGUCACCCACGUGUGGGUGUUUGUAGGUACUAUAUGAAUAAGGACCGGCUAAUUCCGUGCCAGCAGCCGCGGUAAUACGGAGGGUGCAAGCGUUAAUCGGAAUAACUGGGCGUAAAGGGCAUGCAGGCGGUUAAACAAGUAGGAUGUGAAAUCCCCGGGCUCAACCUGGGAGCUGCAUACUAAACUGUUUAACUAGAGUAUUGCAGGGGGAGACGGAAUUCCAGGUGUAGCGGUGGAAUGCGUAGAUAUCUGGAAGAACACCAAAGGCGAAGGCAGUCUCCUGGGCAAAUACUGACGCUCAUAUGCGAAAGCGUGGGUAGCAAACAGGAUUAGAUACCCUGGUAGUCCACGCCGUAAACGAUGUCAAUUAGGAGCUUGUGCGAUAGUAUGGGUUCCGCAGCAAACGCGAUAAAUUGACCGCCUGGGGAGUACGGCCGCAAGGUUAAAACUCAAAUGAAUUGACGGGGGCCCGCACAAGCGGUGGAGCAUGUGGUUUAAUUCGACGCAACGCGAAGAACCUUACCUGACCUUGACAUAGUGAGAACCUCUCUGAAGGGAGAGGGCGCCUUCGGGAGCUCACAUACAGGUGCUGCAUGGCUGUCGUCAGCUCGUGUCGUGAGAUGUUGGGUUAAGUCCCGCAACGAGCGCAACCCUUGUCCUUUGUUGCCAGCGGGUAAAGCCGGGAACUCAAAGGAGACUGCCAGUGACAAACUGGAGGAAGGCAGGGAUGACGUCAAGUCAUCAUGGCCCUUACGGUCAGGGCUACACACGUGCUACAAUGGGGCGUACAGAGGGAAACGAUACCGCGAGGUGGAGUGGAACCCACAAAGCGUCCCUAAGUUCGGAUUGGAGUCUGCAACUCGACUCCAUGAAGUCGGAAUCGCUAGUAAUCGCAAAUCAGAAUGUUGCGGUGAAUACGUUCCCGGGCCUUGUACACACCGCCCGUCACACCAUGGGAGUGGAUUGCACCAGAAGUAGCUAGCUUAACAGCAAUGAGGGCGGUUACCACGGUGUGGUUUAUGACUGGGGUGAAGUCGUAACAAGGU
rnacentral:rRNA from 1 species